AUGCAAAUUAAGUACGUAAUACGUUCGCAAGUGGAAAUAUUUGCCGUAGCCUCGAAGAAACGCAAUCAUGAUGCCGCCUUGUGUGAAAUCGCACUCCGGGGCCGGGAGAUGGAUGGGACAUGCGAGCUAUAUCCGCGAGUGCGCCACUUAUCAUUGGUGGCAGGAAAGCUGUCUGGUCGUGCUGGCUCGUCUCGUGAUCGCCGUCCGGUGGUUGGUUGCUGCGACAGCGCCACGGACGAUGUAGUGCUGAGGAGGGAUGAGAGUUCAGUCUUCAGACUCGACUUGUGUCCUGUAACUUGCAAGUGCACGCUACGUGCUUCCGCGUCGUUGCUCUUGCAUGUCGAUCGAACAUGCCCAUCCAUGCCCAAGCUAAGGUUGGAGCUGACUACUGUGGUUCCAGCAGCUGCCGUUUGGCCAGACAGGAUGAAGAUGAACUGGCAAGGUUGCUUGCCCGAAAGUCCAAACACAGCGCACAUCAGGAAGUUCACACUUCACAGUGAAGCAGUUGACCCUGGACGAAUGAUUGCACCACGGAAACUAGCACUGAUCAUUCAAGAAACUUGA
rnacentral:rRNA from 1 species